GAUGAACGCUGGCGGCGUGCCUAAUACAUGCAAGUCGAGCGAACAGAUGAGGAGCUUGCUCCUCUGACGUUAGCGGCGGACGGGUGAGUAACACGUGGAUAACCUACCUAUAAGACUGGGAUAACUUCGGGAAACCGGAGCUAAUACCGGAUAAUAUAUUGAACCGCAUGGUUCAAUAGUGAAAGACGGUUUUGCUGUCACUUAUAGAUGGAUCCGCGCCGCAUUAGCUAGUUGGUAAGGUAACGGCUUACCAAGGCAAGGAUGCGUAGCCGACCUGAGAGGGAGAUCGGCCACACUGGAUGUGAGACACGGCCCAGACUCCUACGGGAGGCAGCAGCAGGGAAUCUUCCGCAAAGGGGGAAAGCCUGACGGAGCAAAGCCGGGGGAGUGAUGAAGGUCUCCGGAUCGGAAAACUCUGUUAUCAGGGAAGAACAAAUGUGUAAGUAACUAUGCACGUCUUGACGGUACCUAAUCAGAAAGCCACGGCUAACUACGUG
rnacentral:rRNA from 1 species